rnacentral:lncRNA from 1 species
ACUGUACAGGCUGAUGACUGGGUGGAUGGAACUGUACAGGGUGGAUGACUGGGUGGGUGGAUGGAACUGUACAGGCUGAUGACAGGGUGGAUGGAACUGUACAGGCUGAUGACUGGGUGGAUGGAACUGUACAGGCUGACUGGGUGGAUGGAACUGUACAGGAUGACUGGGUGGAUGGAACUGUACAGGGUGGAUGACUGGGUGGAUGGAACUGUACAGGGUGGAUGGAACUGUACAGGGUGGAUGACUGGGUGGAUGGAACUGUACAGGGUGGUGACUGGGUGGAUGGAACUGUACAGGGUGAUGACUGGGUGGAUGGAACUGUACAGGGUGGAUGGAACUGUACAAGGUGAUGACUGGGUGGAUGGAACUGAUGGUCUACCUCUCUCAUUCACUCUACAUGCCACCACGUCAUUGGGUGGUUCUGACAAACUUGAACUGUGGGAAGACAAAAUAAAGGCUUUAUUCUUAAAUGAAAUGUGUCUUUGUCAAU